GUAGGUGAACCUGCGGAAGGAUCAUUAACACGUUAUCACACGUUAAAUCAAGUUAACAGAGGGACUGAUGACUUUUUCUUCUCCUCGAAAGAGGGGGGAAAAAAGUGAACUUCCUUCUUUCCCAUCAACUGUUGUGUUUUGUCAUUUUUUGACAAACCUUAAUCACCCCUCUUUUUUAUAAUCUUUUUCUUUGGGGGUGAUGCAAAUCAUCCACAAAAAAAAGUUAUAAAAUAUGAUUUUUCUUUUUUCUAUUCAAAAGAUGCUUCCUAAUGGGAGCUAAUCUUUUAAUAACUAACUCAAAACAACUCUUAGCAACGGAUAUCUUGGUUCCC
rnacentral:misc_RNA from 1 species